UUUCCGUAGGUGAACUUGCGGAAGGAUUAUUAUUGUAUAACCGAGGUGCGAGGGCUGUCGCUGACCCGAAAGGUCGUGCACGCCCGAGUGCCCUCACACACAUCCAUCUCACCCCUAUGUGCACCACCGCGUGGGUCCCCCUUUGGCUUGUUCGGAGGGGGGCUUACGUUUUCACACAAACUUUGUAUGCAGUGUAGAAUGUAUUUUUUGUUUUUGCGAUCACGCAAUCAAUACAACUUUCAACAACGGAUCUCUUGGUUCUG
rnacentral:misc_RNA from 1 species